rnacentral:rRNA from 1 species
ACGAACGCUGGCGGCGUGCUUAACACAUGCAAGUCGAACGGAAAGGCCCUGCUUUUGUGGGGUGCUCGAGUGGCGAACGGGUGAGUAACACGUGAGUAACCUGCCCUUGACUUUGGGAUAACUUCAGGAAACUGAGGCUAAUACCGGAUAGGAGCUCCUGCUGCAUGGUGGGGGUUGGAAAGUUUCGGCGGUUGGGGAUGGACUCGCGGCUCAUCAGCUUGUUGGUGGGGUAGUGGCUUACCAAGGCUUUGACGGGUAGCCGGCCUGAGAGGGUGACCGGCCACAUUGGGACUGAGAUACGGCCCAGACUCCUACGGGAGGCAGCAGUGGGGAAUAUUGCACAAUGGGCGGAAACCUGAUGCAGCAACGCCGCGUGCGGGAUGACGGCCUUCGGGUUGUAAACCGCUUUCGCCUGUGACGAAGCGUGAGUGACGGUAAUGGGUAAAGAAGCACCGGCUAACUACGUG